GCUCCGGUAGCUCAGCUGGACAGAGCAACGGAUUCCUAAUCCGUAGGUCGGAGGUUCGAACCCUCUUCGGAGCACCA
rnacentral:tRNA from 1 species